rnacentral:rRNA from 1 species
CACGGGGGGAGCAAGCGUUGUUCGGAAUCAUUGGGCGUAAAGAGCGUGUAGGCGGCCCGGUAAGUCCGCUGUGAAAGUCGGGGGCUCAACCCUCGAAUGCCGGUGGAUACUGUCGGGCUAGAGUGCGGAAGAGGCGAGUGGAAUUCCUGGUGUAGCGGUGAAAUGCGCAGAUAUCAGGAGGAACACCAAUUGCGAAGGCAGCUCGCUGGGACGUAACUGACGCUGAGACGCGAAAGCGUGGGGAGCAAACAGG